UGCAGCUGGGCACGCUAAAUAUAAUUAGACCGUUCUGCAUACUGUGACAACUUCUGCUGAAACCCAUCCCUAAAACCCGCUCAUUAUAUGUGUGUGGCAUCCUUUGGGUACGGCAAAGCACUGGUCUAAUUGUCACAUCAAUUUACACCGUUUUCAAGGAAAGUCAGAGGAUCUGGAAAUGAAGAAACAACCAUCUGCAGCAAACGAUGCAAGAUUGCACUAUUGCGCAUCAAAAGAGCGCCAGGCUGAAAAAAAAACCCG